rnacentral:rRNA from 1 species
GAUGAACGCUAGCGGCAGGCUUAAUACAUGCAAGUCGAGGGACAGCACAGGUAGCAAUACUGGGUGGUAACCGGCAAACGGGUGCGGAACACGUACACAACCUUCCUUUAAGUGGGGGAUAGCCCAGAGAAAUUUGGAUUAAUACCCCGUAAUAUAGUUGAAUGGCAUCAUUUGAUUAUUAUAGCUACGGCGCUUAAUGAUGGGUGUGCGGCUGAUUAGAUAGUUGGCGGGGUAACGGCCCACCAAGUCUACGAUCAGUAGCUGAUGGGAGAGCACGAUCAGCCGCACGGGAACUGCGACCCGGGCCCGACUCCUACGGGAGGCAGCUGUAAGGAAUAUUGGUCAAUGGACGCAAGUCUGAACCAGCCAUGCCGCGUGAAGGAUUAAGGUCCUCUGGAUUGUAAACUUCUUUUAUUUGGGACGAAAAAGGGCCUUUCUAGGUCAACUGACGGUACCAGAUGAAUAAGCACCGGCUAACUCCGUGCCAGCAGCCGCCGUAAAAC